GCUCAAAUGGCGGAAUAGGUAGACGCAAGGGACUUAAAAUCCCUCGGCAGCAAUGCCGUGCCGGUUCAAGUCCGGCUUUGAGCA
rnacentral:tRNA from 1 species